rnacentral:rRNA from 1 species
GCAAGUGGUAGGAAGCCGAAAGGUGACCGACCCUUCGGGAGCUUGCACAGGUGCUGCAUGGCUGUCGUCAGCUCGUGUCGUGAGAUGUUCGGUUAAGUCCGCUAACGAGCGCAACCCUCGCUGUGUGUUAUAUGUGUCACACGGGACUGCCGGUCUUAAGCCGGAGGAAGGUGGGGAUGAUGUCAAGUCAGCAUGGCCUUUAUAUCCUGGGCUACACACACGCUACAAUGGCCAACACAAUAGGUUGCUAAGCCGCGAGGUGGCGCCAAUCCAUAAAGUUGGUCUCAGUUCAGAUUGUAGGCUGCAACCCGCCUGCAUGAAGAUGGAGUUGCUAGUAACCGCAGGUCAGCUAUACUGCGGUGAAUACGUUCCCGGGGCUU